UAGGAUGUGGAAACUGCCAUCCUUGGUGAGUC
rnacentral:piRNA from 2 species